GAAACAAAGAAAUUCCUCACUCCUGGCACCGAUAUCUCCUGGCUGAAGAAGCUCCCAUCCCCCAGCCCUAAGAACCUAUAUAAACCCACUCAGACUGCAGGGCAGCGCGGCCUCUCUGGUACCACUCCGUGGGUCCCCUGAGGCUCGCCUGGGUCCCUCUCUCUCGGGGACUCGUUACGCCCACCCGGGAGCGCCCCAAUAAAGCCUCUUGACUUAUCCCUUUCUACUCUGCUCGUCUUUCCUUCUCUGGCGCCGGCUACUUCAAAGAAACCUUACUUACAUUUGGUGCCGAAACCCGGGAGGGGCGUUUGGCUGCGCCCGCCAGUCUGGGGCCCUGACUGCACCACCCCCUUUCGAGAACUCUCACUUUCGGGACCAGGAGCUCCGCUGACUGCCUUCGAGUCCCUGAUUGACGACCUCGGCCUGACUCUGUCACAGGUGAGGACGGCAAAUGCUGGGCAGCCUAUGCCAUUGUCUCUGCCUCUCAGGCAACUUCUCUGGGCCCACGCAGACAGAUACCUGCCUCAGCCUCCAGAGACCGACUCAGAUAUCUCUCACACGGAUAUCCUCUACCCUUGAGACCAGCGUUGCAAAUUAAAGUCACAGGCAAAGUAUACUAAAAAAUAUAUGACUAUUACCCUUCAUCGACUAUUCAUGUCAGCCGUGAAUACGUCCUGGCCCACCAGACACAGGUUCAAAUAUCUAUCGAUAUUCUGGAAGCAGAACAAACUCUAGCAGGACAACUUUCCUCCCGCCCUAAACAUUCCCCUCUUACCUCCUGGCUAAAUAUUAUUCAACAUACCCUCGCCUUCCUAAACUCCUCCAAAAUAAUCUCUAAUGUCUCCCACUGUUUCCUCUGUGCCUCCCUUCAACAACCGCCUACUGGCCGCUGUUCCCCUAAGCUUUUCUAACCCCUAAAAGACUCCCUCAUCGGGUCCCUUGUGCUCCACUCUGCUCACUCGAGUUCCCCCAUGGGAACCUGAGCCCACAGGCCAACCUUAUGCAGAUCGCGUGUGCUUUCUCACCACCCUCACUGACCCCAACCUACAACUUCAGGGACGCUGUCUCACUAACCAUACUGUGACCGCGACCACCUCCUCGGCUCCGGGACAGUUCUCCUGGUGCAACGGAACACUUACCCGCUACAUCAAUACUUCCACCCCGGGUCCUUGUUUCCCUGUCAUGGUGGUCCCUCAAUUAACUCUAUAUGGUGAGUCUGAAUUUGGGUGGCUUCUCCCAGGACCCCACUCAAAACGGGCCAUCUUCUUGCCAGUCAUGGUGGGUCUCAGCUUGGUCUCCUCCAUCGCAGCCUCAGGGCUCGUGGGAGGCGCCCUGGGCCACAGUGUCAUUUCUGCCCAAGAUUUUGCAGAUCACCUACAGCUAUCCCUGGAAACCACGUCCGCAUCACUAGUUUCCCUGCAGAGACAACUGACUUCUCUGGCCCACGUAGCUCUCCAAAACCGGAGGGCCCUGGACCUAUUAACGGCUGAGAAAGGAGGAACCUGCAUUUUCCUCUGCGAGGAAUGCUGCUACUACGUCAAAGAGUCAGGCUUAUAGAACAAAACAUAAAGAAACUCGACACCCUGAGCGAAGAGCUACACAACCACCACGCCACGGGCAGACUACUUCCUCCUUCGGAUGGAUACAGUCCCCACUAGCCACCUGGCUGUUACCCUUAAUAGGACCCAUUGUCACCAUUUGCCUAAUCUUUCUCUUUGCCCCCUGUCUUUUACAGUUUCUCCAACGCCACCUGCAGGAAUUAUCCACAGUGACAGUAAACCAGCUGCUUCUUCAUCCCUACUCUCCCAGUCACCCCUCCACCAGCCGACUCGGCCCAUAGCCCACACUACGCCCCUCAAAAGCAGGAAGUAGCCAGAAAGACCGCGGCGCCCUAUCAUCACUAAAAGGCCGGAAUGUAAGGCUGGUGCAGGUACCCCUCCCUUCCCUAAUGGAAAAAAGAAGAAGUCCCUCCUAUCCCUCAAUACCCGCCCCAAAGCUGAAACAAAGAAAUUCCUCACUCCUAGCACUGACAUCUCCUGGCUGAAGAAGCUCCCAUCCCCCAGCCCUAAGAACCUAUACAAACCCACUCAGACUGCUGGGCGGGGCAGCCUCUCUGGGACCACUCCGUGGGUCCCCUGAGGCUCACCCGGGUCCCUCUCUCUCGGGGACUCAUUACUCCCACCCAGGAGUGCUCCAAUAAAGCCUCUUUACUUA